UGUUCGAGCACAUGAGGUGAGAAAGCCGGACAGACUAAAGGAGUAAAGCGCUGCUGCAUCACUCUCUUAAAGUAUAGAUGAAGUGAGGGCUAAUGCUGCAACUGAAUAAAACUCAUAACUCAGAAUUUCCGACCUCUGACUAGAGAUACACGGUUCGCAGAUUUGAGGAGCUUGACCUCACAGAGGUGGAAAGUGACCUCUGAUUUCCGACUUCCUACCCCUGAGUGUCCUCAGAAAAACGAUUCUUAAGUUCAAUUAAAACAAGAACUACAUGGGCGCGGAGUGGAACAAAGCACGAGUGCCACAUUUGACGCAUUUAGCGCCAUUAACAUCCCUUCUGGGCAUGAGGGAGAAUUCCUCCUUACUGAGCAGAAAUGACGCCUCCUGUUUCCUCCUACUGAGAAACCGCCUCUGCUGCACUGCCGGUGCAGUGUUAAUACACAGGAAAGUGUUGAAUGCACACCCAUAAAGAGCUCGGCCAAAUCCAAGCCGCACACACAUGAACAUAGUAAGAGUGAAUUCACCACUGUGUAGCUGUGUAACAUUAUUUACAAGCCACAUCUGUAUGACCCAGAAUUCCAGCAGUGCAAUAAAAUGGCUCUGGAGGAAGAAGAGGCUCCAAGCUUUUGUAUUCUGUGGAUCUGAAUUAAGCAGCACUUCCUGCCAAUGUCAACACAGGUGUAGAGUUCAGCUGGAGCUUGGGGUGGGGCUUUGGACAAACUACCAGUGUGUACACAGCUCACUAAUCGUGCAUUCCUAAUUGAGAGGAGUUAGGUCUUCAUGUCCUAGUGAGAACAUUACGCACAGUAAACAAUCCGCUCACACUUGAGUGAUCAUUCCAGCACAAGUCAUUGUCCGGAUGCUCUGGAUGUUAUCAGUUAAACCCGAGCAGCUCUUGCUGUUAUUGCAUGAUUUCAUUAAGUGAUGGUGUUGAUGUUUACCCUCAGUGUUGUCUUCUUAUUUGUUUCUGUGGUGGGACCGUAAAGAGAUGUCUGGCUGUGUAGACAGCCCCGGCGUCUGAGCAGGCAGACAGUCCGUCUGUCUGUGAUUAACUCACUGUCUCCUCUGUGCUUUUAGGCAUUAUUGAUGCUUGUCUGCAUGACCAGGCAUAGCAGUGUGUCGCACAGUUCUGGAUAUCACACACACACACACAGUCUCUCCAGUGCACACAGUAUCCUCUGCUUUAGGGGGUUUAUAUGUAAAGAAUAAAACACGCCGAAGCAGAUUAUUUUCCUAUAACAGCAUGUCCUGAAGUGUUUUAUUUUUGUUAUAGCACAGCAAUUUGCCAGAGCUAAAACCUUGUACUUUUUAACUGUUUAUAGUAACAUGUAACAUUGAGGAACGUCACUGCCUCUCUUGAAAAUAAAAAAAAAGGGCAGCUUGUCAUGCUACCAAGAAACCAGGGACUUGCUGUUACAAAGCACUGACACUGGAGACUCCUUCCAUGAAUGUUAAAUAAAUGAGCUGUUACUAUAGAAAAGAUAACGUAUCAGAACAAGCACAUUAAUAUAAAUGUAUAAAAAAAUUACGAGCAGCACUACUGUCAGAGCUGUUACAGAAAGUUAAUCAACACCUUCUGUCCAAUCAGAGUUGAUAUGGUACACGUAAAGUGUUAUUAGCAUCUCAGGAUUCUAAUGUAAUGCAUUAAGUAGGGAUGUGAAGGUGAAGAAUGCAAAUAUAUAAAACUGGGAAAUGGGGCCAUGUGUAAAGCAGUGACUUGUAUGACAAUACAUCUAUAAUAAUAAACACUUAACGAUAUGUAAAGAAAGACCUAACUUUAAAUAGUCUCUACACACAGCCUACAGAUUGUGCUUCUUUUUCCAAUGAGUAAAAAAAAAAAUUAAAGUGUUUGUUAGGUCUUCAAGUUCCUUCCAGCAGAACAGGUUUGCUUAAUUUACAUGAAAGAAUUAAAAUGAAUUUUUUGUGCUUGUUGGUGCUCUGCCCAGAGGUGAUAUGCUGACUUUCUCUCAAUGUUGCUUCAUACAAACUGCCAAGGUUCAAGAGGUUGUGUUCCCACAAACAAGUGGUAACAAUUAAUGAUUGUUGUUACUGAAGGAAAACACCAGCAUUGCAUUCAUAUGGACAGUGACAGGCUCUGUAGGUGUGUGAGGAAAUGUGCUCACCUGGAAAUUUGCAAGAUCUUUAGCAAUUUGCAUAUUAAUAGUGAGCAAACAUCAUCUUAGUGUACAUGAUUUAUGCACAUCUCCAAAGCUAGAAUGCCGCCAUCCUGCCAAGUUCCUAAUGCACCAAACUGCAAGCACACCUGAUUCAACACAUAGAGUCAGAUUAUUAGCGAAUGAAUUAAAUCAUGGACAGACUAAACUGUGUAGUGCAGUGCUGUCAGUAUCCACAACUGGACACACACUGUAUAAUUUUGGAGCAUUUUUUU